rnacentral:rRNA from 1 species
GACGAACGCUGGCGGCGUGCCUAAUACAUGCAAGUCGAACGAGAGCGACCGGUGCUUGCACUGGUCAAUCUAGUGGCGAACGGGUGAGUAACACGUGGGUAACCUGCCCAUCAGAGGGGGAUAACAUUCGGAAACGGAUGCUAAAACCGCAUAGGUCUUCGAACCGCAUGGUUUGAAGAGGAAAAGAGGCGCAAGCUUCUGCUGAUGGAUGGACCCGCGGUGCAUUAGCUAGUUGGUGAGGUAACGGCUCACCAAGGCCGUGAUGCAUAGCCGACCUGAGAGGGUGAUCGGCCACAUUGGGACUGAGACACGGCCCAAACUCCUACGGGAGGCAGCAGUAGGGAAUCUUCCGCAAUGGACGCAAGUCUGACGGAGCAACGCCGCGUGAGUGAAGAAGGUUUUCGGAUCGUAAAACUCUGUUGUUAGAGAAGAAUAAGUGCUAGAGUAACUGUUAGCGCCUUGACGGUGUCUAACCAGAAAGCCACGGCUAACUACGUG